UGGCGAGUGGCGAACGGGUGAGUAAUAUAUCGGAACGUGCCCAGUCGUGGGGGAUAACGUAGUGAAAAUUACGCUAAUACCGCAUACGAUCUAAGGAUGAAAAGCGGGGGAUCGCAAGACCUCGCGCGAUUGGAGCGGCCGAUAUCAGAUUAGGUAGUUGGUGAGGUAAAGGCUCACCAAGCCAACGAUCUGUAGCUGGUCUGAGAGGACGACCAGCCACACUGGAACUGAGACACGGUCCAGACUCCUACGGGAGGCAGCAGUGGGGAAUUUUGGACAAUGGACGCAAGUCUGAUCCAGCCAUUCCGCGUGCAGGACGAAGGCCUUCGGGUUGUAAACUGCUUUUGUACAGAACGAAAAGGUCUCUAUUAAUACUAGGGGCUCAUGACGGUACUGUAAGAAUAAGCACCGGCUAACUACGUGCCAGCAGCCGCGGUAAUACGUAGGGUGCAAGCGUUAAUCGGAAUUACUGGGCGUAAAGCGUGCGCAGGCGGUUAUAUAAGACAGAUGUGAAAUCCCCGGGCUCAACCUGGGAACUGCAUUUGUGACUGUAUAGCUGGAGUGCGGCAGAGGGGGAUGGAAUUCCGCGUGUAGCAGUGAAAUGCGUAGAUAUGCGGAGGAACACCGAUGGCGAAGGCAAUCCCCUGGGCCUGCACUGACGCUCAUGCACGAAAGCGUGGGGAGCAAACAGGAUUAGAUACCCUGGUAGUCCACGCCCUAAACGAUGUCAACUGGUUGUUGGGUCUUCACUGACUCAGUAACGAAGCUAACGCGUGAAGUGACCGCC
rnacentral:rRNA from 1 species